rnacentral:rRNA from 1 species
GAUGAACGCUGGCGGCGUGCCUAAUACAUGCAAGUCGAGCGAACAGAUGAGGAGCUUGCUCCUCUGACGUUAGCGGCGGACGGGUGAGUAACACGUGGAUAACCUACCUAUAAGACUGGGAUAACUUCGGGAAACCGGAGCUAAUACCGGAUAAUAUAUUGAACCGCAUGGUUCAAUAGUGAAAGACGGUUUUGCUGUCACUUAUAGAUGGUUCCGCGCCGCAUUAGCUAGUUGGUAAGGUAACGGCUUACCAAGGCAACGAUGCGUAGCCGACCUGAGAGGGUGAUCGGCCACACUGGAACUGAGACACGGUCCAGACUCCUACGGGAGGCAGCAGUAGGGAAUCUUCCGCAAUGGGCGAAAGCCUGACGGAGCAACGCCGCGUGAGUGAUGAAGGUCUUCGGAUCGUAAAGCUCUGUUGUUAGGGAAGAACAAAUGUGUAAGUAACUAUGCACGUCUUGACGGUACCUAAUCAGAAAGCCACGGCUAACUACGUG